UACGGGGGGGGCAAGCGUUGUUCGGAAUUACUGGGCGUAAAGGGCGCGUAGGCGGUUGGAUAAGUCAGCUGUGAAAACCACGGGCUUAACUCGUGGCCUGCAGUUGAGACUGUCUGGCUUGAGUGUGGGAGAGGAGAGUGGAAUUCCUGGUGUAGCGGUGAAAUGCGUAGAUAUCAGGAGGAACACCGGUGGCGAAGGCGGCUCGUCUGGAGCCACAACUGACGCUGAGGCGCGAAAGCUAGGG
rnacentral:rRNA from 1 species